CUGGAAAAAUUCCAGCUCAGUUUUUUUUUUGUUGUUGUUGUUGUUUUGUUUUUGUUUUUUUAAGAGAAGCUCUCACUAUGUAGUUUCAGGGUUCAGCCUCCCAAGUGCUGCGAUUACAGAUACUGUACCACUACACCCAGUUCUGAUUUUCAUAUGUUCUACCAACUUCGCAUUCCUGAAAAACUCCCUACUUGGUCAUGGUGUAUAAUCCUUUUUACAGGAUGUGGGUUUAGCUUGCCAGUAAUCUGUAGAGAACUUUUGUGUUUAAAUUUGCUGAAACAGCGUCACAGUGCUGGCGUCCAAGUAACCCUUAUGACCUAAUAAUGGCCUCACAUGCAAGAACAGUGGGUGGGCAGUUCAUGUGCCAAAGCAGCACAGAACGCUCCUUUCAAGUGCACUCACAGGCUGGAUCAUGAGACUGCCUGCUCCACCCUCUGAGAGGCUGAGAUAUUGGGCCUGCAUGCUGUGCCUGGGCUCUGGCGUGGACUCCUGGCCAGAAUCUUCACUUUUAUUCCCUCCCUUCCCUCUCACUCAACAGUCAGUAGUGCUGCUUAAUGCUUCUGAGCACAACUUGAAAGGAAAUCCCUGAUUUCAGUGAAUAAGAAACAGGUACAUUUUACAUGGUCAUCCCUACAUACAUAAUGUAUGCAAAUGAAACAAGUCUCACCAAACACAGUGAAACGUGCUGGGUAUGAUGCACUUACUUUCCUAGUCAGUGGGUUAUUUUCAACAAAGCUGAUCGUAUACCGUGGACUGAUUUCAUCACCUUUCUGCCUCACUGUAGGGGAAAAAGUUAACAUAUAAGCUGAUUAUAAUCUGUAAACACACCCUGAUGCCAACACUUCUCUUUAGUCUAGUGAAUAUAUGACUAUCUUUGGUUUAGUCUGUUUUCCCUUCUUUUUUUUUGGACCAGCGAUCGAACUCACGACCUUGCACUUGCCAGGCAGGCGCUUAUGCCACUGAGCUAAAUCCCCGGCAUGUUUGUUUUUGAAACAGUGUUCCACUAUGUAGCCCAAGAUGAUGGGGAACUGUGACCCUGCUUCAGCCUCCUGAGUGCUGAAAUUAGAGGUGUGCACGGCUAUGCCCAGCUUUUUAUUUGUGAGAUGCGCUCUUGCUGACCCAGGCUGAUCCCCUUUGUCAGCCUCUCGAGUGCUGGGAUUACAGGUAUGUGCCAACACGUUCAGUGUGACUAACUAUCUUAAUUUAUUUUUCAAACCCUGGAAGAGAAGUACGGUACAAAGAAAUUGUCAAGAUCUCACUCAUUUCUGUUUGUAUGUGUCAGUAGGAAGACUGGAGGGUUGAACCAAGGACCUUUGUACUGGGCUACAUCCCUAGUCCUUUUAUAACUGUUUUCAGACAGGGUCUCAUUAAGCUGCCCAGAGUGGGCUCAAACUUGUGACCCUCCUGGCUUAGCAUCCCAGAGUGUAGGGAUUACGGGUAUGUACUACCUCAGCUAGCUCUUAAUCUUCUCAUUUUAAAAUUUGUACCUACAGGUUUUUGUGGCAGGGCUACGACUUCUUGUAUGUUAAGCAAAUGCCCUGCCAGAGCUCCAUCCCCCAUACACCUACACACUGUGACACAUAUCCAAGUUACACAAAUUAAAACUAGAAGCUUCAUGGGGCCAGGAGUUUAGCUCAGUGGCAUAAAGGCUUGCUUGGCAGAUGCUAGGUCGUGAGUUCAAUCCCUGAUACAAAAAAAAAAAAAAAAAAAAAAAAAAAAAAAAAACCAAAAAACUGGAAGCAUCUUCAUUCACCUAGUGGUUCCAGAUCUGAAAGACUCCACUGGACCACACUCUGUGACUUUGGACCCUUCCACCACAGCAAACCUUCUUGCUUAGAAAAAUUAUUAACUCUUAGAUUACUGUAAACCAGAAAACAAAUAAACAUGGCAGCUCAGCACUGGACAUUAUGUUCAAUAUGAUUUUAUUUAGAAAUUUGCAAAGCUGAAGGAGAGAUCUGAUCUUUUGUUAAAAGAAAGCACUUUUCACAUCAUAUAUUUAGCCAUUUUAGCUUCUGAAUAACAGAAAAGGCAAUUUCUCUUCAAGAUCCUCAUUCCACACACGGAGCCAGGUGCCCAGCAUCUUGCAGGAAAACAGCACAUCACUGCUCAGAGGUGCGCAGGGACCCUCCUGCCGAGCCCAAGCCCGAGCCGGAGCCCGAGCCCGAGCCCGAGCCCGAGCCUGAGCACCUGGCCUCUCCUCCGAGCACACCUGAGAAGCUACCUUCACUGCUCUGCACAUGGGCCUCUGAAAACCCUUAAAUUUUAAAUUGGAAAAAGGUGAAAGGGUCCCUUAACUCACUGCCCAUAACAAAUCCAACUGCCUGUUAAUUCUCGGCAACUACAAGUAUAAAAUACUUGAAAUUUGUAAGAUGUUCCACACUGAAUGGAACACCUCAAACAUUAAAAAAUUAGGUAAAGCAACAUGUUUUAAUCUUUUUAAAAUGCUACCUAAUAAAACUUAUCGAGACAAGAUACGCAGCCUGUUCUCGUACUUGGUACAAGAACUCCAAUACUCCGAUACUCCAAUGGUCAGAAAAGUAGAAAAAGAAACCAAACAUCUAACAAUGCCUUUGGGGAAUGUUAAGUUUUAAAUUUUGUUAUCUGAAGUUAACCUCAAGGAAAAAAACAACACUCAGUGUCAAGCAAUGAGGUAGAUUUUUUUUCCUCUACAAUGAGAUGAAGAUAACAAAGAAUACGCACAACUUCUAACUUCUCUUUUUAAAAAACCUCAGGUUGCAGUCACUUUCCCAAGCAGACGUUUAUAAGCUGCAAUGUGGGGCAGUCACACUCUGACAUGUUCGGUACUGCAGGUGUUACUUGCGGGUUCAAUGAUCAGCCGUGGGUCAAUCAGCUCUCUCCAGAAAACAGUGAUCUGAGAAAAAAUACAAAAAUAUUCAGUUUUAGCACUGCAUUUUGAGGUCAUCUAGGCUAUAGUAAGUUAAAAAAUUUUAGGUUAGUCAAGGAAAUUUCCAUUUAUACAGAACAGUUCAAAAACUAGGAUAAUUUAGUGCCAUGAAACUGAAUUUGAGCAGAGUAUAAGAACUCACCUAGAAUGCAGGUAAAUUUUACAUCAAACAUAUUUCAUUUUGAUUUAGAGCAUGGGGUGUAGGGGGUGGAGAGGCCAAGUAAGGUUGGAGGUUAUAAGGAGUCAAGAUCCCGUGACCUGCAGACUCUUGGGAGCUAGAGGUGACUCAAGCUGGUGUCAUGAGGUUGUUUUCCCUCAGCUGUCCUUCCUGUCCUGUGCUGCCUAACAAAACUGCUACAACUCACUUAGAGAAAGCAAGGCAGCCUUGGCCACAUGGAUGACUAAUGAGAGCCAUCUAGUGUCAGCCACAGCCAUUACAAGCUUUCUAGCAUACUUCAGGCCUCUUUAAAGAGCAUGGGAAGGCCGCCAAGGUUUAUUUUCCAGUGCAGUUUUGCAGGAAUACAUUUCAACAAAAAAAAAUGGAGCUUAUCUAUGCAAAUAAAGUACAGGAGACUGGACCAAAUGUGCUGACCCUAGCAAAAAGUCUAAAAAUGUACUCGGAUAAAUCCCUACACAUGGCAUCAACCCUAAAAAAUGAAGGAAAGCAGAGUCUGGUCAGGGUUUCUAUACAUUUACAACUCAAACAAAAUGUGAACCUUCAAUAUAGAAACUUACAACAUGGCGUUCCAAGUAUGAACACCCUAACAGCUUCUUUUUUUUUUUUUUUUGAGAUACAGUCUCACUAUGCAAUCGAGGCCAGCAUCAAACUCAGUGAUCCUCCUGCCUCUGCCUCCCAAGUGCUGGGACUACAGCUGUGUACCACCAUGCCCAGCUUGAGAGAGCAUUUGCUUAAGUGUAAAUCCGUUUCUUUACAAGCUAGCCGCAGCCAGCCACUCUGAUAAUUUAUAGUCUAAAAUGGCAAUUUAAAGGACAGACUUGUCCUUUUGUGCCAUUCUUUAUACCACCUCUAAGAACUACAGCGGUAGCAGUGGCAACAGAGCACAUGAGACUUCUGAGGGUCACUCAGGAUCUGUCCCUUGAUCUGAGUCUGGUUAUGAUGAUCACCUGUGAAAACUGUCUAAACCAUAUACUCUGUGCCCUUCUCCACAUGGCAUUGCCAAUAAAAGGUUGUAUGC